rnacentral:sRNA from 1 species
UUUCUUUUCUUACUUCUUUCUUUUCCAAACUUCUUGGGCACUAAACCUGCAGCUUCUAACCCCAAUUUCCAACACAUCUAAACCCUGGGAGAAGAAGAAAGAAAAAGAAAGAAAGGAAGAAAAGCUUGGUUUGUAAUUCAAGCAAGCUAAGCUUGAUGAUUAAUGUUUUGAAGGAAUAUUGGAGUGCAAGUACGGGUCAAGCAACCAUAAAGCGAGAUUCAUUUUCACUGCAACGAGAAAAUCUCGGGUAGGCAGCCUUAAUCCAUGCUCUGAAUUUUGCUGCAGCGAGAAACUCUUUGGUGGUUCUAAAAUUAUGGUGCAGUGCUUUCACUUUGACAACGAUUUUGACUACCUUUCGAUCAAAACUGGGCAAAGUGAGGCAGUUGGGACCUAGAUUGAGUUGUCUAUGUAUGCUCG